ACAAGCCUGAGAAACGGCUAGUAGGACUAAGGUCUGCAGCAGGCGCGAAACUUACACAAUGGGAGCACAGUAUCCCUGAUGUAGUGAAGGAAAAUAACGAUGUAUCUCUCAUUUCUGAGUGAUACAAUUGGAAUGAGACGACUGUAAAUAUGUUAGUCGAGUAACAAAUGGAGGGCAAGUCUGGUGCCAGCAGCCGCGGUAAUUCCAGCUCCAUUAGCGUAUAUUAAAGUUGUUGCGGUUAAAAAGCUCGUAGUUGAAAUUAGCUUGUCUUUUCGCCGCUCGCUACCAUUUAAAGGGCCUCUUACUUGGCAUUUACUGCCAGUUGAGCGCCUGGUUGCGUUAGCGGACGUGAGGGCAAUGUUUCGUCCACUUUAUACGAGUGCGAAGCGGGGCGUUGUGAGGUAGUCGUUGUUUUGUGCAGCGACGUUUAUGGCGCCAAGUUUACCUUGAGAAAAUUAGAGUGCUCACAGCAGGCAGUUGGGGUGUCAAAGCCUUAUUAACGCUUGAAUAAUGUUGCAUGGAAUAAUAGAAUACGGCCUCGGUUCUAUUCUGUUGGUCUUAUAGAACAACAAACAAGUUGGUACUUGCAUUAUAGCAGUAGUUGGCGUUGGUAUACUUGUUUGGGCGUGUGUUUGGUUGGUGUUGUUGGAGUUUGUGUCGCGUGGGCCUUGUUGCUCAGAGCCGCGACUCUUGCUCACCGCUUCGCGUUCUGCGCGUUAGCAGCAAGCCUCUCAUUCGACACCAUCUUAAGUUACCAUUACACUACCACGCUAC
rnacentral:rRNA from 1 species